GCCAUAGCUUAGUGGUGCAGCAUCUGCUUAGCAUGCAGAAGGUCCCUGGUUCAUUCCCUGGCAUUUUGAGGGGACU